GUAGGGUGCAAGCGUUGUCCGGAAUUAUUGGGCGUAAAGAGCUCGUAGGCGGUCUGUCGCGUCGGCUGUGAAAACUCGGGGCUCAACCCCGAGCCUGCAGUCGAUACGGGCAGACUAGAGUGCGGUAGGGGAGACUGGAAUUCCUGGUGUAGCGGUGAAAUGCGCAGAUAUCAGGAGGAACACCGGUGGCGAAGGCGGGUCUCUGGGCCGUAACUGACGCUGAGGAGCGAAAGCGUGGGGAGCAAACAGGAUUAGAUACCCUGGUAGUCCACGCCGUAAACGGUGGGUGCUAGGUGUAGGUCGUAUUCCACGCGAUCUGUGCCGCAGCUAACGCAUUAAGCACCCCGCCUGGGGAGUACGGCCGCAAGNNNA
rnacentral:rRNA from 1 species